GAAAUGCGAUACUUGGUGUGAAUUGCAGAAUCCCGUGAACCAUCGAGUCUUUGAACGCAAGUUGCGCCCGAAGCCAUUAGGCCGAGGGCACGCCUGCCUGGGUGUCACACAUCGUUUCCCCAACGCAAACAUGUAACAAUGUUGCUGCGCGGGGUGUAUGCUUAAACUCAGCGGGUAGCCCCGCCUGACUGCGAGACUGACAAGUCGAGCAGAGACGAAAGUCGGCCAUAGUGAUCCGGUGGUUCUGUAUGGAAGGGCCAUCGCUCAACGAAUAAAAGGUACUCUAGGGAUAACAGGCUGAUAGACACCGUGU
rnacentral:misc_RNA from 1 species